rnacentral:rRNA from 1 species
AACGAACGCUGGCGGCGCGUCUUACGCAUGCAAGUCGAACGGCAAGAGAGGAGCUUGCUUCUCUCCUAGAGUGGCGGACUGGUGAGGAACACGUGGGUAAUCUACCCUUAAGAUGGGGAUAGCUGCUAGAAAUAGCAGGUAAUACCGAAUACACUCGGCAUAUCACAAGAGGUGUUGAGGAAAGGAAGCUACGGCUUCGCUUGAGGAUGAGCUUGCGUCCCAUUAGCUAGUUGGUGAGGUAAAGGCCCACCAAGGCGACGAUGGGUAUCCGGCCUGAGAGGGUGAACGGACACAUUGGGACUGAGAUACGGCCCAAACUCCUACGGGAGGCAGCAGCUAGGAAUAUUCCGCAAUGGACGGAAGUCUGACGGAGCGACGCCGCGUGGAUGAAGAAGGCUGAAAAGUUGUAAAAUCCUUUUGUUGAUGAAGAAUAAGGGUGAGAGGGAAUGCUCAUCUGAUGACGGUAAUCGACGAAUAAGCCCCGGCUAAUUACGUG